CCGUUUCCACCAUCGACCAUCCAUCACCUCACCUCCAAGCUCCAAGGAAUCUACCCUCGCUCUUCUCACAAAGCGCUGCAGCGGACAGCAGAGCAGCACGAGAGAGCCGAGCGCGAGGUGCAGGACCGCAAAACAGAGGCGAAGCGAAGGACCUAACCUACGUAGCACCGCUCAGCUCCGCUCCGCGGCGAUGGGUCACCGCCGCCACGAGGGGUCGUGCCGCUGCGAGCUCUGCGGCGCGCCCGCGGCCGUGCACUGCGCGGCGGACGAGGCUUUCCUCUGCGCCGCCUGCGACGCCAAGGUGCACGGCGCCAACUUCCUCGCGUCGCGGCACCGCCGCACGCGCCUCCGCCUCGCGGCCGCGGGACCCCCGCCGCCGGACGACGAGGCCGGGUACGGGUCCGCCGCGAGCUCCUGCGUGUCCACGGCCGACUCGGCGCCGCGGCCGAGGCGUGGGGCCCGCGCGCCGGCCGGGAGCGUGCGCCCCGAGGCCGUGCUCGAGGCCUGGGCCAAGCGGAUGGGGCUCGGGGCGGGGGCGCGCCGGCGCGUCCCGCCGCGCGUCGCCGUGGCCGCCGCUCUCUGGUGGGAGGCGGCGGGGCGGGGCGGGGUCGGGGGCCACGCCCAGGCGCUGCGGCGGCUGGAGGCGUGCGCGCACGUGCCGGCGAGGCUCGUGCUGGCCGUCGCCGCGUCCCUCGCGCGCGCGCGCGCGCUCUUGCGGAGGGCCGCCACGGACGCCGUGGAGGGCUGGGACGAGUGCGCGUGGGCGGGGCCCAAGUCCAGCCCGUCACGCUCUUGAUCCUCUCCCUCUUCCUUUGUCGUGCUGCUGCUACUGCUCGCUGAAGAAACAACACGAGGAGCAUAUGGACAUGGCGGCCGGCUGGAGAGAGGAAGAGGGACAUGCUUUGCGAUUUGUGGACCUUGUUCGUCUCAUUUAUUAGUUUGCCCAAGGUACAAGAAAACUUGUGGUUAGGAAUAGGGGAGAGAGCAUGCAUAAAGUGGGGUCUUAAUGUAGGUCAGUGUUUUUCAUUAGAGACUUGUGAGCUAACUGUGGCUCUCCAACCACGGCGGUACGUGCAAGUGCAAUGGUUCCCAGCAGUGUAUAUUUUCAGCAGCUCUGUAAUUCAAGUUUCAUUUCUUCUCUCA
rnacentral:misc_RNA from 1 species